rnacentral:lncRNA from 1 species
AACCAAGCAGAUGAAAAUGAAGGAUUUAUUUUGUAAAACUCUGGGACUUCCCUGGUGGCUCAGUGCAAAAAGACAACAGAAGGAUACAUUCCGGAAGUCUCUCCUGUCACUAGAGGGGCACACAAGUGGCCAGAGAAAGCCUCUUUUUCGUGGAACGUUCCAGGUCAACCCUUGCCUCACCUUCUCUCCCAGCUGGGAGUUAUGAGCACAGUCUUUCCCAGUUGACUGACUCUUUUCUGCCAGGAAGGAGACUAAAGGAUUCUUCUGGAGACCCGGGUCAAGAGAAAGUCCUACUGAUGUAGAAGUUCGGUUUCCACAAAGAAAGGCACAGCAGAGGUCCUCAGCAUUGGGUACACACAGAAAUCAACGGGUGCUUUAAAAAUUGCUAAUGCCGGGUCCCACCCCCCACAAGUCUGAUUUAGCUGUUUCGCAGUGAGAACAGGUAUCGGGCGGUUCGAGAGCUCCCCAGCUGAUUCUAACAUGCAACCAAGCUGAGCACUCUGCUGGCUGCCAGUGAAGCUCAGUCGCUAAGCUCCACCCACUGCUCAGUUUCCAGUCUGAUUUUUGACGCCUGUCCCCCAAAAUGGGAGCCGACAAGCAUCAUCAGAUAUCUGAGAAACAGAUGAGGCCAAAACUAACAGAAAGCAACUGCGAGGGCCACACCCUGGUGGCUCAGUGGUAAAGAAUCCACCUGCCAAUGCAGGAGACAUGAGUUCAGUUUCCAGGUUGGGAAGAGUCCCUGGAGAAGGAAAGAUGGGUGCAGGCCUGCCUGGACCUGGCAGCUGUGCCACAGCUCUACCUAGUUAUUGCCAAGCAGGAAUGUGAGCUCCAUGGCACCAUUUUUGUUGUGAUUUUUUUGUUUUUUUGUUUUUUUGAGAAAAACUAAAACUUGGGUUUUGAGGGCUCAGUCAGUAAAGUAUUCACCUGCUAAUGCAGGAACCCUGGGUUUGACCCCUCGGACAGGAAGAUACCCUAGAGAAGAAAAUGGCAACCCAUGCCAGUUUUUCUUGUCUGGGAAAUGCCAUGGACAGAGGAGCCUGGCAGGCUACCAACAGCGGCAUUGCAAAACAGCUGGACACAACUUAGCACCUAAACAACAAAACUUUAAAAGGAACAUUGAGAAAACAGAGCUCUUAAAAAUUAAAACUAUUAUCACAGAAAUGAAAUUCAAGAUUAGAG